rnacentral:rRNA from 1 species
UUGAGCUNGAUCCUGGCUCAGAUUGAACGCUGGCGGCAUGCCUUACACAUGCAAGUCGAACGGCAGCACGGGAGCAAUCCUGGUGGCGAGUGGCGAACGGGUGAGUAAUAUAUCGGAACGUGCCCAGUCGUGGGGGAUAACGUAGAGAAAUUUACGCUAAUACCGCAUACGAUCUAAGGAUGAAAGCGGGGGACUUCGCAAGAAGCCUCGCGCGAUUGGAGCGGCUGAUAUCAGAUUAGGUUGUUGGUGAGGUAAAAGCUCACCAAGCCGACGAUCUGUAGCUGGUUUGAGAGAACGACCAGCCACACUGGGACUGAGACACGGCCCAGACUCCUACGGGAGGCAGCAGUGGGGAAUUUUGGACAAUGGGCGAAAGCCUGAUCCAGCAAUGCCGCGUGCAGGAAGAAGGCCUUCGGGUUGUAAACUGCUUUUGUACGGAACGAAAAGGUCUGCCUUAAUACGGCGGGCCCAUGACGGUACCGUAAGAAUAAGCAC